GGAGUGCGAACCCAGGGGAUGGGGUAGGAGGAGCCUUGCUCUGCUCCUCUGCCUGUCCCCCAACCCCCAGCGUUCAGGACAAAGUCCAGCCCCUGGCCUGGCCAACUCUCCCGCCUUAGGCCUCCUCCCUCUGAACCGCAGGCCCAGAGUGUCAGCCUCACCCCGGCACCCGCCCCAUCCCUAAAGCAAUUGCUAUUUCAGGUCCCUGCGCCGCUGAACAAGCUGUUCCGCCACCUGGAAUAACCCCUUCUGUAUCUGCCCAGAGAACUCCUAUUCAUCGCUUGGAGCUGCCCUGCGCCUUCAGACAAGGGGUGAAGCGCCCAACGUGGGUCCACUGAACCGAGACUGGCCGGAGACCCCCACCCCGAGGCCCGGAGACCCUGAGUCCCGAGAGCCCGGCUCCCAUCCGCGGCAGGGGGAUGGUGUGUGCCAGUGCCUGGGCUUGGGACGGCAGUGGAGCUGCAGGACACAAAUGCCACUGUUGCUGCUGACACCCACCCCUGGAGCUGUGAGCCGAGAGCUUUAUGCUCAUCUCUUCUUGAGCAAUGUG